UACGUAGGGUGCAAGCGUUGUCCGGAAUUAUUGGGCGUAAAGAGCUCGUAGGCGGUCUGUCGCGUCUGCUGUGAAAACUCGGGGCUUAACCCCGGGCCUGCAGUGGGUACGGGCAGACUUGAGUACUGCAGGGGAGACUGGAAUUCCUGGUGUAGCGGUGGAAUGCGCAGAUAUCAGGAGGAACACCGGUGGCGAAGGCGCCGCUCUGGGCCGAAACUGACGCUGAGGAGCGAAAGCGUGGGGAGCGAACAGG
rnacentral:rRNA from 1 species